rfam:Salmo salar isolate Sally breed double haploid chromosome ssa12, whole genome shotgun sequence.
UGCAUUCACUACUGUAAGUCGCUCUGGAUAAGACCGUCUGCUAAAUUACUAAAA